rfam:Schistosoma curassoni strain Dakar, Senegal genome assembly, scaffold: SCTD_scaffold0000155
AUCUAGCUGACGGGUCCCAAAUCUGACGAAACGCGUGUCCUGGAU